rnacentral:rRNA from 1 species
UACGAAGGGGGCUAGCGUUGCUCGGAAUCACUGGGCGUAAAGCGCACGUAGGCGGAUCUUUAAGUCAGGGGUGAAAUCCUGGAGCUCAACUCCAGAACUGCCUUUGAUACUGGGGAUCUCGAGUCCGGAAGAGGUGAGUGGAACUCCGAGUGUAGAGGUGAAAUUCGUAGAUAUUCGGAAGAACACCAGUGGCGAAGGCAGCUCGCUGGGACGGUACUGACGCUGAGACGCGAAAGCGUGGGGAGCAAACAGG